GACGAACGCUGGCGGCGUGCUUAACACAUGCAAGUCGAACGGAAAGGCCCUGCUUGCAGGGUACUCGAGUGGCGAACGGGUGAGUAACACGUGGGUGAUCUGCCCUGCACUUCGGGAUAAGCCUGGGAAACUGGGUCUAAUACCGGAUAGGAGCCAUUUUUAGUGUGAUGGUUGGAAAGUUUUUUCGGUGUAGGAUGAGCUCGCGGCCUAUCAGCUUGUUGGUGGGGUAAUGGCCUACCAAGGCGGCGACGGGUAGCCGGCCUGAGAGGGUGGACGGCCACGUGGAGCCUGAAUGGCGCCCGAGGUGCCGAUGGGGCGCCGCGGGGCGGAAUCGUGACGGAGGGACGCCGGCCUAGUGAUGACGCGCGGCGGGGGGGAAGACUCCCUUAGGAUUGAAAAACCAAUUCGCAAGGAACGAUGCUUUUCUUGACGGUACCUAAUUAGAAAGCCACGGCUAACUACGGG
rnacentral:rRNA from 1 species